rnacentral:rRNA from 1 species
UAGGGAAUCUUCGGCAAUGGGGGCAACCCUGACCGAGCAACGCCGCGUGAGCGAAGAAGGUUUUCGGAUCGUAAAGCUCUGUUGUAAGAGAAGAACGUGUGUGAGAGUGGAAAGUUCACACAGUGACGGUAACUUACCAGAAAGGGACGGCUAACUACGUGCCAG